rnacentral:rRNA from 1 species
UACGGGGGGGGCAAGCGUUGUUCGGAAUUACUGGGCGUAAAGGGCUCGUAGGUGGCCAACUAAGUCGGACGUGAAAUCCCUCGGCUUAACCGGGGAACUGCGUCCGAUACUGGUUGGCUUGAGUUUGGGAGAGGGAUGCGGAAUUCCAGGUGUAGCGGUGAAAUGCGUAGAUAUCAGGAGGAACGCCGGAGGCGAAAGCGAGUGACUGGCGCGUUCCUGACGCUGAGGUGCGAAAGCUAGGGGAGCAAACAGG